rnacentral:sRNA from 1 species
UGAUCCUGACUGCAAUGCAAGCAAGAGCGGACAUAGCAAGUUUUCUCCACGUAUGUGGAGG